UCCUGACUGACCGAUAGUGAACCAGUACCGUGAGGGAAAGGCGAAAAGAACCCCGGCGAGGGGAGUGAAAAAGAACCUGAAACCGUGUACGUACAAGCAGUGGGAGCACGCUUAGGCGUGUGACUGCGUACCUUUUGUAUAAUGGGUCAGCGACUUAUAUUCUGUAGCAAGGUUAACCGAAUAGGGGAGCCGAAGGGAAACCGAGUCUUAACUGGGCGUUAAGUUGCAGGGUAUAGACCCGAAACCCGGUGAUCUAGCCAUGGGCAGGUUGAAGGUUGGGUAACACUAACUGGAGGACCGAACCGACUAAUGUUGAAAAAUUAGCGGAUGACUUGUGGCUGGGGGUGAAAGGCCAAUCAAACCGGGAGAUAGCUGGUUCUCCCCGAAAGCUAUUUAGGUAGCGCCUCGUGAAUUCAUCUCCGGGGGUAGAGCACUGUUUCGGCAAGGGGGUCAUCCCGACUUACCAACCCGAUGCAAACUGCGAAUACCGGAGAAUGUUAUCACGGGAGACACACGGCGGGUGCUAACGUCCGUCGUGAAGAGGGAAACAACCCAGACCGCCAGCUAAGGUCCCAAAGUCAUGGUUAAGUGGGAAACGAUGUGGGAAGGCCCAGACAGCCAGGAUGUUGGCUUAGAAGCAGCCAUCAUUUAAAGAAAGCGUAAUAGCUCACUGGUCGAGUCGGCCUGCGCGGAAGAUGUAACGGGGCU
rnacentral:rRNA from 1 species